rnacentral:rRNA from 1 species
UACGAGGGGGGCAAAUGUUGUUCGGAAUCACUGGGCGUAAAGGGAGCGUAGGCGGGUUUCUAAGUCAGGUGUUUAAUCCCGGGGCCCAACCCCGGACAGGCACUUGAACUGGGAAUCUUGAAUAGUGGAGAGGUCAGUGGAAUUGGGGUGUAGCGGUGGAAUGCGUAGAGAUCCCCAAGAACACCAGUUGCGAAGGCGGCUGACUGGACACAUAUUGACGCUGAGGCUCGAAAGCAUGGGGAGCAACAGG